CCUACGGGGGGCAGCAGUGAGGAAUAUUGGUCAAUGGGCGGAAGCCUGAACCAGCCAAGUCGCGUGAGGGAUUAAGGCCCUAUGGGUCGUAAACCUCUUUUGUCAGGGAGCAAUGGCGUCCACGUGUGGGCGUAUGGAGAGUACCUGAAGAAAAAGCAUCGGCUAACUACGUGCCAGCAGCCGCGGUAAUACGUAGGGGGCAAGCGUUAUCCGGAAUUACUGGGUGUAAAGGGAGCGUAGACGGUGAUGUAAGUCUGGAGUGAAAGGCGGGGGCCCAACCCCCGGACUGCUCUGGAAACUAUGUGACUGGAGUGCAGGAGAGGUGAGCGGAAUUCCUAGUGUAGCGGUGAAAUGCGUAGAUAUUAGGAGGAACACCAGUGGCGAAGGCGGCUCACUGGACUGUAACUGACGUUGAGGCUCGAAAGCGUGGGGAGCAAACAGGAUUAGAUACCCUUGUAGUC
rnacentral:rRNA from 1 species